rnacentral:piRNA from 1 species
UGCUAGAUGGGUAUAUUUCUGUGAAA